AGAUGCUAGAACUGCUUGGCGGAGUCUUAAGAAAGGGAUCUGAAAGCUUGCGGGGAGGGAAGCCAUUAGUCUGGGUUUACAAUGUGAGAAGAGAGUACCCACUCACUGACGAGGCUUCUCAGAGGGGCCAGGAGGAAACGUCCUUCAUUGAGGCAUCAAUAAAUUAAGACACUGGUGAAAGAUGACAUGGAAUGUGAAAAUUUUCAGCUGUUUGGAAAGGAAUCCCAAGAAACAAUUGGCUUUCCCCCUAACCUGUGAGCUCCCUUGAGGGUAGAUACAGCAUAAUGCCGGCCACACAGAAGCAUGAACUCUCCUCCAGAUGGUCACCCAUGAUCCCAGGCUGAUGGCAGCUCCACCAACCAAACUUGUCACAUCUGGAGUAUGUGGUCUCCU